rnacentral:rRNA from 1 species
UACAGAGGUCUCAAGCGUUGUUCGGAUUCAUUGGGCGUAAAGGGUGCGUAGGCGGCGAGGCAAGUCUGGUGUGAAAGUCCCGGGGCUCAACCCCGGAACUGCACUGGAUACUGCUUUGCUAGAGUACUGGAGAGGGAACUGGAAUUUACGGUGUAGCAAGUGAAAUGCGUAGAUAUCUGGAGGAACACCGGUGGCGAAGGCGGCGAUCCUGGACCGGUAUUGACGCUGAGGCGCGAAAGCUAGGGGAGCAAACGGGAUUAGAUACCC